GAUGAACGCUGGCGGCGUGCCUAAUACAUGCAAGUCGAGCGAACAGACGAGGAGCUUGCUCCUCUGACGUUAGCGGCGGACGGGUGAGUAACACGUGGAUAACCUACCUAUAAGACUGGGAUAACUUCGGGAAACCGGAGCUAAUACCGGAUAAUAUAUUGAACCGCAUGGUUCAAUAGUGAAAGACGGUUUUGCUGUCACUUAUAGAUGGAUCCGCGCCGCAUUAGCUAGUUGGUAAGGUAACGGCUUACCAAGGCAACGAUGCGUAGCCGACCGGAGAGGGUGAUCGGCCACACUGGAACUGAGACACGGUCCAGACUCCUACGGGAGGCAGCAGUAGGGAAUCUUCCGCAAUGGGCGAAAGCCUGACGGAGCAACGCCGCGUGAGUGAUGAAGGUCUUCGGAUCGUAAAACUCUGUUAUUAGGGAAGAACAAAUGUGUAAGUAACUAUGCACGUCUUGACGGUACCUACUCAGAAAGCCACGGCUAACUACGUG
rnacentral:rRNA from 1 species